CUAUGGGUGGCAGCAGUGAGGAAUAUUGCACAAUGGGGGGAACCCUGAUGCAGCAACGCCGCGUGGAGGAUGACGCAUUUCGGUGUGUAAACUCCUUUUAUAUGUCAAGAAAAUGACGGUAGCAUAUGAAUAAGCACCGGCUAACUCCGUGCCAGCAGCCGCGGUAAUACGGAGGGUGCAAGCGUUACUCGGAAUCACUGGGCGUAAAGGACGCGUAGGCGGGUUGGAAAGUCAGGUGUGAAAUCCUACAGCUUAACUGUAGAACUGCACUUGAAACUUCUAAUCUAGAGUAUGGGAGGGGGAGAUGGAAUUAGUGGUGUAGGGGUAAAAUCCGUAGAUACCACUAGGAAUACCUAAAGCGAAGGCGAUCUCCUGGAACAUUACUGACGCUAAGGCGUGAAAGCGUGGGGAGCAAACAGGAUUAGAUACCCUCGUAGUC
rnacentral:rRNA from 1 species